rnacentral:rRNA from 1 species
AACGAACGCUGGCGGCAGGCCUAACACAUGCAAGUCGAGCGAGGACUUCGGUCCUAGCGGCGGACGGGUGAGUAACGCGUGGGAACGUGCCCUUUGCUUCGGAAUAGCCCUGGGAAACUGGGAGUAAUACCGGAUGAGCCCUUUGGGGGAAAGAUUUAUCGGCGAAGGAUCGGCCCGCGUUGGAUUAGGUAGUUGGUGGGGUAAUGGCCUACCAAGCCGACGAUCCAUAGCUGGUUUGAGAGGAUGAUCAGCCACACUGGGACUGAGACACGGCCCAGACCCCUACGGAAGGGAGCAGGGGGGACUCUUAGACAAUGGGGGAAUCCCUGAUCUAGCCAUGCCGCGUGAGCGAUGAAGGCCUUAGGGUUGUAAAGCUCUUUCAGCUGGGAAGAUAAUGCCGGUACCAGCAGAAGAAGCCCCGGCAAACUCCGU